rnacentral:pre_miRNA from 1 species
GUUCACUGCUCCCUCCGUCCCAUUUUCACGCUUAACUUUAAUCGUCUGUUUUUUUAUAAUUUAUAUCUUUAUUGUUAUGAGAUGAUAAAACAUAAAUAGUAUUUUAUGUGUGACUUAUAUUUUUAAUUUUUUUAAAAAAAAAUUGAAUAAGAUGAAUGGUUAAAGUCGUACGCGGAAAAUUAUGGCUGUAUUCAAA